rnacentral:lncRNA from 1 species
UUUUUUUUGCAGUGUCGAAAAGGGAGAUAGACGGCAGUUUUAUCAAGAAGUUAUGUACGUUCUGCUAUACAUUUGACAGUCAGUAAUUAUUCUGAAGUACACAUGUCGACCAGAGGCAUGGAACAGAGAGGAGAGGUUUUAAAGUACCAGAUGCUUAUCUGAGAUUCCAAUUUGAACUAAAGAAAGCAAUAUAUAAAGAUAUGUAGGAGAAAUAAUCUAUAUGAAUAAAGUUAUGUCACAAAAGG